AGUGUCCAUAUCAAGAACGUUGGCGGCAUCAGCUUGCCAAACAUUAUUGUCUCGCUUCCAGAGGUUAAAGAUACCGUGACGGCAACCAAAAGUCCCACCGUUAAAAGCGCCACGGUAAAAAUCCCUUCACCUGGUCAGCCUGGUAACCAGAAGAGCCGCAGGGAUACAGGUAAAGCUGCAGCUCCAGAGGCCGGGAGUGAAGACAAGAAAGAGAAAGACAAAGAGAA